rnacentral:misc_RNA from 1 species
CAGACACUUCACCCCGAUGACAUUUCACCCCAUGACAAUUCACCCCUGUUUUGGAUGACAUUUCACCCCGAUGUCACUUCAUCCCAAAAUUUCAUUUUUUUGGAAGUGACAUUUCACCCCAUUUUCAGAUUUUGAUAUAUAAUGUUACUUUUUGCCAUGUUGAAAAAUUAGGAGAUAAUUAUGCAACUUAGAAAUGACUUAAAAGAAAUGAAAUUCAAUUGAUUAAAGAAGUGCAAUUAACAAUUAAUAUGUCACUUGAAAAUGACAUAAAAGAAUUCAAAUUCAAUUGAUUAAAGAAGUGCUAGGCAACCAAUUAGUGAUUCUAAAUUGAGUAAAACAUAAUCAUGAUUGACCACUUACUGAUCAAUCAAUUAAAGAUUAUCAGUUUUUCGGGGAUAAUCCGAUUAUUUCCAUGGUGCUUUUGAAGUCUUUUGAAGAAUUUCUGAUCAAAGGAAAACAUGAAAGAAACAGUGAGUAAUUAAUAUUAUCCUAAUAGUGUAGCUUUUUAUUGUAAAUAUUCUUAGAUAAAAUAUUUUUUUUAAAAUCAAACAAUAAUUCUAUACCAAAAAUUGAUUGCAAUUAAAAGUGAGAGAAUUUAAUUGGUUCUGAUUAUUAUAUAUACUGUAGACUUAUUUUCUUAGUUUCAUGUCUUCUUGAAACUUUGAAUCUGAAUUAUUGUGAUACGGAAUAUUUAUAAUAGUAAACAUUGUGUAUUUAACCUAAGUUGGAAUAUUUUCUGAAUUUAAUAUCAAAUUAUUAAUAAAAGUGCAAUUGUGGACAAUGUCUGACAAUGAUUGUGUUGUUUGUGAUAGGGAGGUUACUGCAAAAUGUGAAGCUGUAACAUGUGACGUGUGUGACAGGUGGCGCCAUAGACUUUGUGGCACAGGAAUCAGCCGUAGAGAUUACAGGCUUAUCCAGAAGGGGCUGAAGAAACUUAAUCAUGUGUGUCCGCCCUGUUCCGAGGCAGCCCAGGAGUUAAGUGAUCCAAACAGUACCAUGCCCAUGGACAUCUCUCAGGACAUGCACUCUACAAUGAUAGAUUCAUCUCAAGUGCACGGGACAUUCCAUCUACAGGUGAGCAUAGAGUCUGUAACGACGCCGCCACAGUCACCGACGCCUCCAUCACCUGCUCUAUCACUGCCGCCACCACCGACGCCUCCAUCACCUGCUCUAUCACUGCCGCCACCAUCUACGCCUCCAUCACCUACAGCUUUGCAGCUACCUCAGAACUGGACGUUCCCACCACCACCAUCACCACUAGGUCCGUCACCACCAUCACCAUUGUCAUCUGGGUUUGACAUUUCCAGACACGGCUCUGCUGACACGACCAUGUAUGCUGAACACUCUGUGGCAGGCCCUGAGGGAGGUGUUCCCCAGUAGUAAGCUUAAGGGUUGUGCAUUCCACUGGUCACAGGCUGUACAGAAGCAUGUCGGAGAGUUUGGUCUCGCCAGAACAUACAGAGAACGCCAGGUGGCACCGAAAACUGAACACAAAGGCCGGCAGAGGGAAGGUCAAGACCUACCGCCUUCUGGAGAUCCUCCUUGUAGAAUCUAAG